rnacentral:sRNA from 2 species
AUCAGGAAUUGGCCGAAUCGGUAAGAGCGGAGGAACCGUUUUUCGGGGUGAAUUCCGAGGUGAUCGGAAAGGAUAGCCCUUAAUCCUAACCCGUCAGCUAACGCCGCAGGCGACUAAGGGGAGAGAA